UAAUGUCCGGAGUGAAUGCAAUUCCAUUACAGCGCGAUUAAUCAUUAAUGUCGGUCAGUGCGAAUACAAUCACAAGUUGCUGCUCAUUGUUGAACCAAUUUUUUGUUUUUUGUGAAAAGUGAAAAGCAGGCCGUGCUUUGGUGGGGUAUGGCUGGAGUUUGGUUUUUAUUCUAUCCGGCAUUUCCAUCAAUUUUGAUAGAUUUACAAUCUAUUAAAUUUCAGCUUCUUAGAAAUUGAUUCAUUGGAAACUUUAAACAUGAUUUGCAUUAUAAAAUCAAGGGUUCUUUAGAUAUAGACUUUUACAACUCUUAUUUCUUAGACAAAAAUCUACCUAGUUAUAAACAUCCAAAUAAAACCCAAAUUUAAAAACAACUGCUAAGUAUAGAAAUAAUUGACCUAUUAUUACAAAAUAUUUACAAUUUGUACCACAAUAUUCAAAAUAAAAUCAAUAAAUAUUAUUACUCACCUUAUUGAAAAUAUAAUUAUUGCACAUAUUAUUACCCCUAACACACACAUAUAUAGUUUACGUAUAUAUAAAAUACUAUUAUACGUUCACACACACACACACACACACAUAUAUAUAUAUACACAUAUACAUGCAUAGUACUACAUAUAUGAUCAAACAUAUUAAACUAUUUAAUCUGCCUAUAUUUAAAUUUAUGAUAAGCAAAUAACAUAUAUUUUGUAGGUAAAUUAAUAUUGAAUCAAAUAACAUUCUUUUAUUUUGUAGGUAUUUAUUUUCCAUGUAUUAUUACAUAUAUUUGGCACAUUUUAUUAUUAUAAGAUAUAUGUACUAAUAAUAGGUAAAUUAAUUUUUAAUAAAGUACAAUUGCUUUAUUUUGUAAGUAAAUUAAUUUUGAAUCAAAUAACAUUUCUUCAUUAUGUAGGUACAUCUUAUAUACCUACAUAAGGACUCGUUUGAUAACUGCAGUGGGCGUACCAUACAAUUACAUUUAUUCGGCACAUUUUAAUAGGUAAAUUAAAAUUAAGCACAUUUUAUUAUUACAUGUACAAAUAAUAGGUAAACUAGUAUUGAAUAAAAUAAUAACAUUUUUUUAUGUAGGUAUAUUAUUUUGCAUAUAUUUGGGUUUGCUUUAUUAUGUAGGUAAAUUAUUUUGCAUGAAUUUUUAUGUAUAUCAGGCAUGUUUUUUGUUGUUAUAUAUAUAUAUAUGUGUGUGUGUGUGUGUGUGAAAUAAUUUACCUACAUUUAUAUGUAAAAUAUAAUUUUAUUGACUUAACUAAGCAUGUAUUACUACAUUUAUUAGGCAUGUUUUAUUGUUAUUAUAUAUUAUGCAAUGAAUUUAUUAUUAUUUUUUUUUGUAAAAUCAUUAAUUCUCCCUUACAAUUUGUAUGAAUUAAUUGUUUAUAUCAAACAUUCAAAUAGGGGUGUUUUGGGCAUCAAAAAAUUUUAAAUGUGUAAAGUCAAAUAUAAUUAAUAAAUUUGUUGAUGUGGAAUCUAGUCAAUGAGUUUUAUUUUAGUAAAAAACUUAUGUCGUAUUUUAUGUGGAGAAAAUUAAGUUUUAGAGACUAAAGUCAUAUUUUAAGUAAAAUCAAUUGGUACCUUUAGGUGCAGGAGGAGGAAGAGCCUUCGGUGCAGGCGCCGGUUCUGAGGUGGCGUUUUGGAGGUAAAAGGGAUAAAUUUCAAACCUAACGUUACAGCUCGGCAUCAAAACUCGUCCCCCUUUCCUUCCUUCACAACAGCUCCGCAAUCUCGAGACGGCAAGCUUUAAACACCGGUUGCAAUCCACUUCAGACAGAUCCCAUGUGCACUGUGCGACGCUGUACACAGAAAGAAACCUACUAAUAUUUGCCUGUUUCAUUGCAAACUUGUUGGCAGUAUUAGUAGCCUCGGUGACCACCUCGUUCAUACUUUUCCCCAGAACCUGGUUGAACCGAUUCCAUUCGGUUGCGUUCUGCUCGUUCCACGCGGAGAUGGACGGCGAUUCGUACAAGGUGGAUAAGGACUCGUUUGAGUAGCGUAGCAUGCAGUGGGCGUACCAUACAAUUACAUUUAUUCGGUAGGCACAGCGUUGUGCUGCCAUUAUGCUUGCAGCAGUCACGCAAUCUUUGCAAACGUCGGUAGAGACAUAUCCUUGGCAGAGAAAGAGGCCGUAGGCUUUUUCCGUAGAAUUUAAGCCCGCCGUGGUGUUGUAAAAGCCGGUGUCAGGGGCAGCGGGAGAGAUAAGGGUGUUGAGGACUUCGUUGAGAUUGGAUUGGAAGCUCUCGUGGAAGGUGGGAAAGUACCAGCCAGUGUUGGAGGUGAAAGUGGUUGUGUUAUUUGGGCAGCUAAUGGCUAGAAAUUGACCAGUUUCAUUACUGGUGAUCAAACUGAGCAAGCUAAGCAUGGAGACAAACAACAAAAGGAUCAUGGACAUCUUCAUCAGCAUCCCGCCUUGCUCUUGAUUAAUUAAGAUUUUAAAUAUCAGUUUUUUAUGAAAAUAUCGAUAUUACUAUUUACGAAAACAACGACGGAUAAUCGUUAUAUAUAUGCUUUCGGUGAAGAUGAAAAUUGCAAAAGUCUUUGACUCAGACGACACCUGGUCGUUGGCCCUAAGUGAACGGCGGUGUUGUACAAGGGGGGACCACAAAGUAAAAUUUCCUAGCUAGCUCUUGUUUUCUCUUUUUAUGCAUAGAAAUGUCAAAAUAAAAAAGUCGCUCGGGUGAAAAGAUAAACAUUAUAAUAACUUAUAAGAGGUUAAGGUAUAUUUUAUAUUGUUAAUUGAUUUUAUGAUAGAUAUGUCAUUAAAUUCCCUCUGUUGAAGAGUUUCCCACUGUUGUUCCUGUGUUGAAAAGCAUCACACUCUUGUGUUGUGACCAACGAUGUUGAUUAAAUUCCCAGUGUUGAAAAGUAUCACACUCUUGAGUUGUGAUCAACUGCGUUGGAAAGAAAUACAAAAUUUAUAGUUCUAACAAAAAACAAAGAACGAAAGCAAGAAAAGAUACAGUUAACUAACAUUUUGUCUAUCUGAGUUGCCACAAACACUCUUAGGCCUGUUUACCAAAAAAAAAAAAAAAACACUCUCUUAGGCCUUAUUUUUUUGUCGGAUUAGAUCAAAAAUAUGUGUCCAAUUCCUAUCCAAAAAGUUUUGGAAACACGUAUCAUUUCCAAUUUCGAAAUCGGAAUUUCAACUUUUCAUAAACUCAUUCUGAAUUUGGUAUUUUCGGAAUCGGAUUAUUUUAGAAUUUUAAAAUUUUAAAAUUAUGGGAGUUGUAUGACUUCAUCUAUACCAAGAUAAAAAAUAGAAAAUUUUCUAAAAAUGACCAAUUUUCUUAAUCUUAAGAUUGAAAUAGGACAAACUUAAUAUGCACAGAGUAUGCACACGCCAUGCACAAACAAUAGGAAGAUUUUUUUCUACAACUGAAAAUGACUAAUUGCCUUCCUAUAUAAAUGGGUUAUUUCCUCCCAUUUUCUGAUUUCUCUCUCUCUACUCUCUCUCGGAAGAACCCUAACGAUGCACUCACCCUUUAACAACCCACUUUACCGGCAGUAACCCUUUCUCUCUCACCGAUGGCUAUCCUUUCACCAGUCCCCUCUCUCCUAUCCUUUCGAACUAGUAACCCAAGAUUCAGAUCGCAUCUAACUUUUGGAUGGCAGUACAAUUCCCAACUCAAAAUUCCAAAAUCUUGUUGUGUAAUGAAUAAUAAUUCAUCCACCAAAGCUCUUGUGAAUGUCGCAGGUGAAGAGUGCACUUCCAAACUCAUGACCUUCUUGCCAAUUUCUUUUAACUUUUUAGUUUCAAGGCGCGAUGGGAUUGGAUGAAUCAACAUGAGCCAAAGCCCACAACAAGUGAUGCGGGUUUCUUUACGAUAUUUGGGAAAUAAAUUUUUUAAGGUUUGUUUAUGGGUUUUGAUUUAAAGUUUCUUGGCUUUGCCUGUAUUUUGUGAGUUCCUAUGUUCAAUGGCUGAAGUCAAAUAUUUCUUGGCUUUGCCUUCCAUUUUCUAGAAAACUGUACACUGUAUGCACACGAGUUGCACAUGAUAUGCACAUGAUACGCUCACAGAUCUGAGCUCAACCUAAAAACCCAGAGCUCAUAGCUCUCACUUUGAAAUCAGAAAAAUGACGUCAUCACUUGUGAAUUUUUACAUUUUAUAUGUGGGUAUUUUCAUUAUUUCACUUUUGUGCAUGGUGUGCAUGGCUGAUUUGUCCUAUUUCAGUCUUAAGAUUAAGAAAAUGGGUCAUGUUGAUGCACAAAAUUAGUGAGGACUUUGGUACAACAUAAAGUGUUAAGUUUGUGACCUUCGCUAGAUUGCUCCGGUCACUAGUGUGGAUAAGUAUGUAAAUGGAUAGAGACAGGGAAGCAAACACAAGAUGUACGUGGUUCACCCAGAUUGGCUACGUCCACGGAGUAGAGGAGUUCUCAUUAAUUGUGAAAGGUUUACACAAGUACAUAGGUUCAAGCUCUCCUUUAGUGAGUACUAGUGAAUGAUUUAGUACAAAUGACAUUAGGAAAUAUUGUGGGAGAAUGAUCUCCUUUUAUAAAAGAGAGUUUCUAGCCUUGUUCUAACAUUGACACGUGUUGUGUUGUGAUUGGCUUCCGAUGUUGACACGUGUCGCGCUAUGAUUGGCUUCUGAUGUCGACACGUGUCGCUCUGUGAUUGGCCUCCUAGUUGGAGGGAAACUCUUCUAGAUCCUUGACGGUAUAACGUUGACCGGUGCUCGGUAGUUUCGGGAUUUGUCAAGUAUGAUACAAACAGGUCAUUUUUGGCAAUUUCCCUAAAAGAUAUGUCAUCUCCGAUUUUAGUUCUCAAAUACUCAUUUUUUUCGUAUGUAAUGGAGUUAUGUAUGUUUUGGAAUUUCAGAUCAGAUUCGGAAUAUUAAAUAAUUCCAAUUCCUAUCCAAUUUUUUUCCUUCUUGGAUUUUGGAAUUUUGGUUUUGGAUUUGUAUCCGACGGAAUAUUUUGAAAUACUUCUGCUCACAAUCGGUCGGAAUCAAAUAUUCCUAUCCAAGUUGCACCCAUCCUCUCUCGUGAAAUAUCUUCUUCUUCAAAACCCCAAUAUGUUUCGUAUAUUGGGAAUUAUUAAAAUUUUAAGGUACGUCAUAGUUUCGAUCCAAAUUAUUUCAGAAUAAUGAGUAGGAUUCAUCAGUUUCAUUACUGAUGAUUGUAGGAUCUAUAUAGUAUAUUAAUAUAAAUCACUGUUGACCCUAAAAACUACUAAGCCUACGUGGCGCGCAUGCCGAGUAACUAAUAAGCUAACUACGUCAUUCGGUUGUUUGCGGGGCGUGCCAACUCGUCAGUCAAGCUCGGCCGAGGAGUAAAAUUUGCUGAUGUUGCGUUGGGUGCGCUGCUGACUUCUCGAUCUUGCGACUACGGCCGAGGAAUGAACACUCGGCCUUCGGGUCCUAGAGCUUGAAGACAAGGCUACUAGUUCUGCGAAGUUAACAAAUUGUCAGCACCAGAUUUGAUCAUAGUGAUUAUAUUCGUAAGGGUAUAAGCACGCCGAAUCGACACCAGAGUAUAGGGACACAAUUAUUCAAAAAAAAUAUAUGCCUUGACUAUGAAAGUGGUUCGGCCGUCAGAAUGCCGAACUCUAAAGCCUACUUGCGAAUAACCAAUCAUAAAUAACUCGACGUUCAAUGUACCAAGCCUAAUAAAUCGUAACACCUCGCUUCGCCGAAAAGGCUAACGAGAUAACUUCUGUCAAUAAGGAGUCGAAAAUCCUUCUCGAUCGAGACUUGGAUAGAUAACCAGUCGGCCCUGUCGCAGUGCUGUUUAUCCAAACUGAAGGUGUUUCACGAUCGGCUGAUUCUACAGCAACAAUGUUGUUUAUCCAAACUGAAGAUGUUCGUCGGUUGCCUUCACAGUGUUGUUUAUCCAAACUAAAGAUGUGUUGGUGAAAAGGAAAACAAAAAUCUCAAGGUUGUUGAGAGGUUUCGCGUAGAGCGAGGGUUUGCGCAGGGGAGUUUGUGUGUUGAAUUCAAGAGAGCUUUGUUCGAUGUCCUCUCUCCCUAUUUUUAGUAGUGUUGUAUUGAAUCCCAAUUAUUCUCGGAUUAGAACUCAUUUCCCCGAUCCAACCUUAUCUCGGCCAAUCCUACUCCUACUAGGAUUCUAAACUCAACCCGUUAUUAGGCCACAUUCAAUCUUAAACCUCUUAUCCUAUCAAGACUCCUUCUCGUAAUAUGACUCACCCGCAUCCCCCAGAUUCCUAAUGGGAUACGGUCAAUCAUGACUACGCGGCCCAUGAGCCGGAUAACCUCCCGACGACUCCUACGCACGGCCUCUGAGCCGAGAACAAUUCUAAACUCGUCCCAAACCAAUAUUUUUGGGCCCAAACAAUCACCAAUAAUUAAUCCAUCCAAAUUAGGGUGUUUUGUUGUUGGAGUCUUUUGCCCCACAUCGACCGUUUUGAUCUUUUUCUCAUCCCUUCCUAACCACUAUAUAACGAGAACUUAAGGGAAAGGAGGAGACACACCCAGUGAAACAUUUCUCUUAGCUUUAUAGAGGAGAGGUCAAUAAUCUUUUUCUUUCUUAGUUUAGCCUCUAGGGUAUCACCUUGGCCCUAGACUUAGAAAGCUACUAAGAAUUACAACGGUUUGAACCUUGUGCAUUGGCACAAACUACGUAGGAAAUCAAGCCAGGCUAGAUGCAACCGAAUCCUUCCUUUGGUGAAUCUUGUUUGUGGUUCUUGUAACGGUUUGUAGAAACGAGACGGCAAUCCAGAAUUCGUUAAUUCCUCUAGGUAUAAUCCUAAUCAAAUUCCUUUAGAUUACUUGUAUAUAUCCAACGGUGGUAUCAGAGCCAUAGGGCUUGUUCCUCGCCUUACAAUCCGAUGUAAGUAGCGGAAACCAUGAUAUCCACCAUGAUUGCAUAAACCCGGAAAAAUCACAUUUUGAUUUAUCGUGUUUUUUGAGGAUUUCUUUUGAGAAAUAAGUUCUCCAAUGUGUGAGACUCAUACUCUCAAAAUUUUAUGCAAUGACGUGCCACAGUUUGACAGAAAUCACAAACCCUAGUUUUGUGAUUUCUUGAAAAUUUUAGCUUAUUUUCAGCCCUUUGGGGGGCUGAAUUUAGGGUACAUGGUGUUGAUAUUUUCUGUACGUUUUGCAUGGGGCUUGUGGUUUUCUAUUUGAGCUUCAAGACCAUAUAAAAUACACGUCAUUUGGAUGAGUAUAGAAGAAGAAAUGGCUUUGCUACUGCCUACGUAAAUUUUUGAAAUCUGGGAUUUCAGCAAAAAGUUUGAAAAAAAAAAAAGUGAUUUUAUUUUAGUUUUGCGAGCUAUUUUUCAUGCUGUUAGAGUUAGGUUUUCGAAUGUUAUCCAGCAAUGGAGUGCGAGACUAAACACUUGUACGGUUUCACUUACAAAGCAUAUACUAGAUAUGCAUGUAUGUCGCUUUAGAAUGUCUAAGAUGAGACCUAUCAAAGGUCGAACAUGGAGAUUUUUUCAUUUGAAAUCCAUAUUAAAACUUGUCAAGCCGAACGUGAGUAACUAGGUGGGCGUCGAAAGGGAGACUAGGCUAGAUGCUCAAGUUAAACGUUUGUGUAGCGCUUAGACUAAGAUCAAUAUGGUGUAUGUCCAAUGAACAUGUGACACGCUCAUUAAAUUGAGAACAUACCAUAGCAUACAUUUCAUACUGUAUGUGCUAGUUGCGGCUGAUAGUGAGAGUGACGAAUUGAUCUCUGCUUCAAGUCACUAUGUGACCUACUGAAUCUAUGUGAUCCUACCCUUAAUACCCUUUGGAUUAAAGCUUACAUCAAAAAGAUGAGAUUUGAUGAUCGCUACUUUUGCACAUUUAUCUAAGAUGGUCAAGUUAGCUAUUAUCCCAAGAAGCGUGUCUAGGCAAGUAGUUAAACCAAGUUGGACUGAGGAAGAUAGUUUGAAGACUACAUUAUAUCAUGUGAAUCAUUGGCUGCCCAGCGUCUAUUUGAUGUUUGUUAUCAAAUGUAAGACAUGGAUACAUGAUACUUGUGGAACAUGACGUUGAUUUUUAUAUCAUAAACAAGGAAUAAAGAAUGUCAAGUUUGGUACGUAUAACGAACUGUCUGGGGUAUAAAGCGAUGAACUUAGGAGUGAUACACUCUUGUUAAGUUUGGUGAUAGUUUAAUGGCAGCUCUCCUGGAUAUAUACGUUCGUUCUCGCAAGUUGUCGAGCGCCCUAAAUCCCAUAUGAAGAGGUAAACUGUAACAACUGAGAAUUGGAUGAGCCAAUUGAGUUGAUGCGAAAUUGUAAUGGACAAAGUAACGAACAGCGCUGCUUCACUGUAUAUUCCUCAUCAUCUCCCCCCGGCUCUUGCUCUUAAUUAGGAAUGUACACAAUAUUGCUAAGGUUAAUAAUUAGUGAUUAUUUCAGGUAAUUAGAUGGAAAUUGCAAGCACGACUUGACAUUGGCUCUUUGACCCCAGAGUCAAGCAUACUGUGUGAUUCAUGAAUACCCCAAUAUAUUUCAGAUAUCAUAAAUAAUUAGAAUUUUAAGAUACUUCCCAAUCCCGAUCCAAAUUAUGUCCGAAUUAUGAAGGUCAAAUACCAUUCGAUUGCAUCAAAGUUGAAAAUUUUCACCUGGAGCUUUGGUCAGAAGUGGUUAAAAUCGAAAUUUCCAAUCCAUCUUACACUUGUUUUAAAUAAUCUGUUGGCUUGGACUUUCAAGGCCAACACCGGUUAAAAUCGAAAUUUCCAAUCCAUCUUGCACUUGUUUUAAAUAAUCUAUUGGCUUGGACUUUCAAGGCCAAUAACGGUUAAAAUCGAAAUUUUCAAUCUAGAAAUCCAUCUUGCACUUGUUUUAAAUAAGGGAGUUUUAACGAAAAACCCGCGGUACUGUUCAUUCUAACGAAAAAUCACAUUUUUACACUAAAAAGUCAAACAUGAUACUAUUUACUUUACCCUUUAUUUUGUCAUUAUCAUUAAAACCCAAAGUUUUUAAACUCUUUUCAUUAGUUUCUAUUGGCUUGGAUUUUAAGGCCAACACUCAAUGUUCAUGUUUUUUUUUUUUUAAAGGAAGACAACGUAACAAACUAUUGUAAUCUACCUUUUUAAGUUCGAGAAGACUCAUGUAGAACCCAUCACCUAAUGUUGGUCCAACGCAAAUCGCAAAUCUAGACCGACAAAACUGCCCUCCUUUACAAAAGCCCUUACGGUCAAACACGGUGGAUAUUUCGGUUCAAAAUAAACGGGCAGCAAGUUUUCAAAAAAAUAAAAAAAUAAACGGGCAGCAGUGCGCGCUUUCCCUCCUCGGACCUCAGUUAAUGGCAAGCGCUCUUAGAAGACUUGCAGCUGCAUUCUGCUACCCGUCACAUCUCCAAUUCGUCCGAAGCUUGUCUCCGUUGCGCUUUGGAAAUAGUCACCGUUCCUUCGUGUCUUCGGCUUUGUCUGGUAUGCCCCGAACCUGCUUGUGAAAAUGUCUCUUAGACAGCACCUAUUUUGUCAUUAACUGCCAUUUCUGCACUUGCUCUGUAUUUCAAGAUCAGAGGACUGUCCUCCAACUGGUCAUCCGGAAUUCCGACAAUAGAGAGAGAACGAGAGGGAGUGAGAUGUAGCUGAGCUGAGCUGUUGAAGGCGUACUAGUUAUUAAAAUUCUUUUUAUUAUUUAUCCUAGUAUUAAUUAAAGUUUGUAUAAUUUUUUUUUUUUUUGGGAAACCUAAAGUUUGUAUAAUUAAUCCUACAUAAAGAUACCAGAAAAUUAGAACAUCGAUCCCUAAAUGGGCCACAAUGUAGCAAUGGUUCUUUUGAGUAAACACUGUUUUAUAAUACCCUCCAAAAUAAAGGGCUUAAAGGAGAAAAUAUGGACGGAAUUAUUCUCCAAAAUAAAAGGUUAAAGAGGACAAUAUGAACGGAAUUAAUAGAGUUACAAAAAAUGAUCAUUGUUACAGAUUGUAACAAGUUAUAGGACCAAUAUUCUAAUUAACUUGAAACAUAUAAGUAUGUAAUAUAACAUCACUCAAGUCAUACUGGUAGUAAUAUACAGUAUAUGUUAUUAAAAAUUCUGGAGAUUCGAGAUUAGGGAGUGCAUGGUAACUAACAUUUACCCUAUAAAAAUGACAAGGUGAAAGAAAAGCUGUAAAGAUUAUAGAAUUGUCUCUAGUGCAGUAAAGUGCCUUUAACGGAAGUGCUUCCAAUGAUAUUAACCUUAUUGUCAUCGGUCUCAACGAGGAACAUCGAUAGAAAUCGUCAAACCAUUGGCUGAGCAAUCUUGAGCUCGCACUUGAUCAUGGUGAUCAACAUAUCUCCCUGUAAAGAAGGCUGGUUUCUCAGGUCUGGAAAGACAAAUAGUUUCAGUUUUUAACAUAUGAACAACUGAUGACAUGGUCGGCCUGUUGUUUGCAUCCUCUUGAACACACAAUAAUCCAAUGUGGAUGUACCUCAAAAAUUCAUUUGGACUGCAUGAAUCUUAUAACAAGGGAUCCAUCAACUCCAAACCUUUCGUUUCAUUCCAUAAUUGCCAAGCCUGCAAUCAAUAUCUCUCAAGGAUGUAAGUCCUCCUCCAGUUUUGAUAGCUACAUUAAUUAAGCUCACGAAUAUUUUGUAUAAGUAUUCCAAGUAAAGAACUUACAUAACCUAUAAGAGUAGGCCCACAAUUAGUGCGAUGAAAGCCUAAAAAGUUCCUUCUCCCCGUUAUGAUCUCAAGCAGAAGUACUCCGAAGCUGAAGACAUCCGAUUUUACUGAAUACAAUCCUUCCAUAGCAUAUUCUGGAGCCAUGUAACCACUAAUUGCAGGACCAAAAUGGUUGACAUAUAUAAGAGUUUAAAUAACAAACAUAUACUAUUCUGUUAUCUAUUUAUAGAUAGAGGUAAGUACAUAAGUUGAAACAAAUAAUUGGAAGAUGUAUUUAUAUAAGUUGAAACUUACUAAGUGCCAACAAUUCUUUUGGUAUUUCCUUCAGUUUGAUCAUCAACUCCAAACAUUCUAGCCAUCCCAAAAUCUGAUAUUUUCGGGUUCAUAUUGUUGUCUAAUAAAAUGUUGCUAACUUUCAAAUCACGAUGUAUAACUCUAAGCCUCGAAUCUUCAUGGAGAUACAAAAUUCCUCGAGCAAUUCCUCCGAUUAUCAUGGUGCGGCUCAACCAAUCUAGUUGUUCUCGUUUUUUAUGUUCUGUAAAUUUAUCAAGUUCAAGUAGUACUUUAUGAAGUUAGGAACUACAAAGUAUUAUAUUUACUGACACAAACAUAUAUGUAUAUUCAUCAAAUGAUGUUCACAUACCAAAUAGAAAAUAAUCAAGGCUUUUGUUGGGCACACAUUCAUAAACAAGUAAGGUUUCUUCUCCUUCCAAGCAAAAACCUAAAAGCCUGACAAGAUUUCUGUGUUGAAGCUUGGCUACCAAUACAACCUCAUUCUUAAAUUCUUGUACACCUUGUCCGGAGCUUUUUGACAACCUCUUUACUGCUAUUUCUUGUCCAUUAAUAAGCAUUCCCUGUGAUAAGAUAUAUAGGUACUUUAGUUUAUCCAACAAUUUUGUUGUGAUCUAAGCAAUUUAUAUAUACUAUACAAUGUUGUAUUAGUAGAAUGACUCAUGAACUAAUGCAUUAUAUAUUUGUUGGGUUAUUACCUUAAAAACUGCACCGAAUCCACCUUCGCCUAACUUGUUAUCUUCGGAAAACUUAUUUGUGGCAGUUUCGAGAGUUCCCAAAUCAAAUUGCAAGGACUCAGCCGUCCUCAUAUCUUUUGCAUUGCAAAGAAGGUUAUGAUCAUAUGCCAGACACAUCAAAAUAAAUUCAAAAUUUUCAGUUCUAACUUUUGGGUUUCAUUUGUUUUCCCUUACCUUGCCGUUUGCCAUUUUCUUGUUGUAGAGCCUCAUCGUUCUUCUUUCUUUCUCUUCUGCCCGGGAGGCAGUAGCCCAAUGCUACAAGGACCAGAGAGACAACUAGAAGAGAAAUGACAACACUCACGAGAACAAUGAUAGUUAUAGAGAAGUGUUUCUUUCUCCCUGCAGUAAGAACAAUAUUGAAUUUUCUUGUCAUAAAGCUCUUUUUGUACUUUUAAACUCGCAAUUUCCAUCGAUUAAUUUAGUUAGUUGAACAUGGAAAAAUACAAAUGAUAGUUUUCUCAUACCUUUCUUCUUCUUCAUUCAUCAAAACAAAAACAAUUAAUAUGUCAUGUUUGUUUUCUGAAUACUGUAUUCUUCCCCUUUAUAAUAUACUUUUUCUUAUCCACUAAUUAUCUAUCUAAUGGCCGAUAAGAUCAUAGGUCCUAUGUAUAUCUAAAUCUUGAUUUAAAAAUAUAAAAAAAAAUGAAUUAACGGGAGAACUGUUAUUAGUAUUCUUAUCAUUAAACACUACAACUGAUGGCGUAAAUCUUUUUUACGUGCACAAGGUACUUUACCUAUAGGUAAUCGCAAAUUUGGUAGUAGAGUACUCGGAGGAGGAAGAGCCUCUGGCGUGGGAGGAUGCUGUGCGUGGGUCCAAUUGAUGGCGUAAAAGAGGGUAUUAUCCAACCGAAUACUACAACUGGGAUAUAGGACUUGUCUCCCUCGGAAUUCGGAUUGAACUAAUAUUUUUUCUGCAGCUCUUGCUAGACACCGUUUGCAAUUUGAAGCGGAGAUGUCUUGCGUGCACUGCGCAAGGCUGUACACCGUCUCAUUUGACCCUUUAACUUUGGCUUCUUUGGUUGCAAAGUACUUGCUGUUAUUGGCAGCCUCAGUGGUUAGCUCAUGCACACUAGUUGCCAAUACCUGGCUAUAUCCGCUUGGUUCUUUUUCAGUAGACCCGUAGAAUUGGCCAUGGGAAGACGACUCGUUCAUGGAGAAAACUAAUUUCUUAUUUGAGUAGCGUACCAUGCACUCGUCGUUCCAUAUCAUAGCAUCUGUUCCAUCAAGGCAGAGUUGUACUGCCUCCAGGUUUGCGAAGGUCAUGCACUCUCUGCAAACGUCGGUAGAGACAUCACCGCGACAUAGAAACAUCCCAUAGGCCUGUUCAGUUGUGCUUCGGCCAGCGGUGGUAGUGUAAAAGCCGGUGUCAGUAUGUGUGGCGUUCAAGGAAAGGGAUUGGAGAAGCUGAACGAGAUUAUAUGGGUAGCUAUCGGGGUUCGAUUCGACUGCUUCGGCGAGGGUGGAAGUGGUAUUGUCUGGGCAGGCGACGGACCAACAAAGUGCUUCCCUACUGUCACUACUAGUGAUCAAACUCAUGAGAAACAGAAAAAGGAUCGUAGACAUAUUCCUCGUCGUCUCCCCCUUCUCUUAAUUCCAGAUGUUGAUCAUAUAUUUUUAAGUUUAACAAUUAGUGAUUAUUUGAGGUAAUUAGAUGGCAAUUGCAGAUUUGCAGGCAUGGCUCGCUGACCCUCGAGUCAACCAUACUGUGUGAUUCAUGAGAAAACAUGCAAGGGGAGCAACAAAGUCAAACGUAGCACAAGAUUAGCUUUGGCUUCCGGAUGCAUCGAAAUGCAUGAAAGGGAUUCGGAUUUCCUCCUCCUAAUUCAUUAAAUUCAUCAAUCCGAAUUACUAAAAUUUGAUUCAACGAUUAAAUUUAUUAUAAUUUUUAAAAUAAAUCUUUAUUUAUAACUGUUUGAUCAAAUUUCAAUACUCAGAAUUCUCAAAUUUUGAAUUAAAAUGAAGGAAUUCGGAAAGUAUACCUUUCCGAAAUGUAUGUGCUAAUUACAGUGCGAUUAAGCAUCAAUGUCGGUCAGUGUGAAUAGUCACAAUUUUUUAGGAAAGUGAAAAGCAGGCCGUGCUUUGGUGGGGUAGGGCUGCAGUUCGGUUUUUAUCCUAUCCGGCGUUUCCAUCAAUUUUGACGCAGCGUCUUAGAAAUUGAUUCUUUGGAUUUGGAACUUUAAAUAUGAUUUGAAUUAUAAAAUCAAAUGGUAGGUGGAUGAGGAGGAGGA
rnacentral:lncRNA from 1 species